rnacentral:rRNA from 1 species
UACGGGGGGGGCAAGCGUUGUUCGGAAUUACUGGGCGUAAAGGGUUCGUAGGCGGCCUUCUAAGUCGAACGUGAAAUCCCCGGGCUCAACCCGGGAACUGCGUCCGAGACUGGAAGGCUUGAAUCCGGGAGAGGGAUGUGGAAUUCCAGGUGUAGCGGUGAAAUGCGUAGAUAUCUGGAGGAACAUCGGUGGCGAAGGCGGCAUCCUGGACCGGUAUUGACGCUGAGGCGCGAAAGCCAGGGGAGCAAACGGG